rnacentral:rRNA from 1 species
GUAUUCAAUGUGGUUCGCGAUGUUUGAGACGGUACUUAUGUAUUUUGUUGAUUUCACGCGUCCACUGUGGUAUGUCCGGCUACGUCGGCGUGCACUUCUCCUCUAGUAGAACGUCGCGACCCGCUGGGUGUCGGUUU